GCCAGUUUAACAGCUGGGCAAUAGUAUAGACCAUUGCCUUAUUCUAAAUCCCAACUCCAGAGAAGACGUGUACCGCUAUCACAUAAUGCCAUGACCAGUGUGCUGACCUUGCUGUCCAAGGAAAAACUUCAUCUCCUGGCCCCAUAUUCUAGAAGACUGAAGAUUUCAUUCCAUGAAAGGUUUUCUUGCAACCUACAUAGCACUGGCUGGGCAAGCAGAAGUUCUGAGUCGCACUGCGCCUCCCAUGCCAGUGAAGGCAAACUUCUGGCAAAGAACACCAAUGUUAUCACAGCCCCCUGCUCACUGGCUUCUCAUCGUCCUUCCUGCAUCCUGGCCCUGCAGGAAAGCAUGAUAUACCUGGGGUUGUUGGGGAAGGGAAGCUUCUUGGUAUGAAAUGCAGUGGUACGAAAUUAAUGGUGGAGGCUUCUCAUCAGCUGCCUCACACUGAUGGUUUCACGAUCCUCCUGCGCUCCACUAAGACGAUGUGAAUGUUGUGGGAUUUGGCAGUGCUUCCUAGCUUCUGGGUCCAAGUGCAGGUCCUGGACACAUCCCAGCUCUGCACUGGGAUAGGAUCUGGAUGUGUACUUGAGACCUUUUCCUCCUACCUGUCCAUACCAUAGUUUCCAUGGAACUAAAUGCAGAAAUGCUGGCCAAAAGACAGCUUCAGUACAGUACAUUUUGGCCUGUCUAGAUAAUCAGUGAACAGGAUCUUGGAAAACACUGCAGCUUAUAUCAGUUGUUUAGACACUACACAUACAGUGCAUGUUUUUUUUUUUUUCUUUUCAGCUUUAACUCAGGUGUUUAUAACAGAUUCCAUUCUUCUCAGCUGAUCCUGUUUGACAUUGCCUUUUCUCUCUCACAACACCUACAUGACAUAAUGAGAUUCUGUCAUUGCUUUUACUACAAAAGAGCAAAAUUCUAUCUUUUCCUUCCAUUUAGCCUAUUCAUCCCCUGGGCAUCUCCUGCUUUGUCUGUGAAUUUUCCUUCUUUGAGGCUUCCUGAAGAACCAUCUGCUAAAAUUAUUUUUUGUACUUCCAUGUAACCUGGUUGGUCUAAAUUUUGAAUAAACCUACCAGCAAUUUC
rnacentral:lncRNA from 1 species